rnacentral:rRNA from 1 species
GUGGUUUAAUUCGAUGAUACGCAGGAACUUACCCGGGCUUGAACUGCGUGGAAUUAUCCGAAACGGAUAAGCGAGCAAUCGCCGCUGUGGAGGUGCUGCAUGGUUGUCGUCAGCUCGUGCCGUGAGGUGUCGGCUUAAGUGCCAUAACGAGCGCAACCCUUGCUGCCAGUUACUAACAGGUCAUGCUGAGGACUCUGGCAGGACUGCCAUCGUAAGAUGCGAGGAAGGUGGGGAUGACGUCAAAUCAGCACGGCCCUUACGUCCGGGGCUACACACGUGUUACAAUGGGGAGUACAGAGGGCAGCUACCGGGCGACCGGAUGCGAAUCCCGAAAGCUCCUCUCAGUUCGGACUGGAGUCUGCAACCCGACUCCACGAAGCUGGAUUCGCUAGUAAUCGCGCAUCAGCCACGGCGCGGUGAAUACGUUCCCGGGCCUUGUACACACCGCCCGUCAAGCCAUGAAAGCCGGGGGUACCUGAAGUACGUAACCGCGAGGAUCGUCCUAGGGUAAAACCGGUAAUU